rnacentral:rRNA from 1 species
UUGACCUCAAAUCAGGUAGGACUACCCGCUGAACUUAAGCAUAUCAAUAAGCGGAGGAAAAGAAACUAACAAGGAUUCCCCUAGUAACUGCGAGUGAAGCGGGAUAAGCUCAAAUUUAAAAUCUGGCGGUCCUUGUGGCCGUCCGAGUUGUAAUUUAGAGAAGCGUUAUCCGCGUUGGACCGUGUACAAGUCUCCUGGAAUGGAGCGUCAUAGAGGGUGAGAAUCCCGUCUUUGACACGGACUGCCAAGGCAUUGUGAUACGCUCUCGAAGAGUCGAGUUGUUUGGGAAUGCAGCUCAAAAUGGGUGGUAAAUUCCAUCUAAAGCUAAAUAUUGGGGAGAGACCGAUAGCGAACAAGUACCGUGAGGGAAAGAUGAAAAGAACUUUGGAAAGAGAGUUAAACAGUACGUGAAAUUGCUGAAAGGGAAACGCUUGAAGUCAGUCGCGUCGUUCAGGACUCAGCCUUGCUUUGCUUGGUGUACUUCCUGUUCGACGGGUCAGCAUCAAUUUUGGUCGGUGGAUAAAGGCUUGGAGAAUGUGGCAUCCUCGGAUGUGUUAUAGCUCUGGGUCGCAUACAUCGGCUGGGAUUGAGGAACUCAGCACGCCGCAAG